rnacentral:rRNA from 1 species
UACGAAGGGGGCUAGCGUUGUUCGGAAUUACUGGGCGUAAAGCGCACGUAGGCGGACAUUUAAGUCAGGGGUGAAAUCCCAGAGCUCAACUCUGGAACUGCCUUUGAUACUGGGUGUCUUGAGUAUGGAAGAGGUGAGUGGAAUUCCGAGUGUAGAGGUGAAAUUCGUAGAUAUUCGCAAGAACACCAGUGGCGAAGGCGGCUCACUGGGACGGUACUGACGCUGAGACGCGAAAGCGUGGGGAGCGAACAGG